GCGUAGCUCAGUUGGCUAGAGCACUGGUCUCCAAAACCAGGGGUCGAAGGUUCAAAUCCUUCCGC
rnacentral:tRNA from 1 species